AUCAGACACUUUAAUUUCAGGAAUAAUUAAAACCAAUAUGUCUGAAAAUACAGCCUCGGCAAGCUAAAACUUAGGUUUUUGUGUGAUGUUGCAUCCACACUGAUAGGUGUCACUAUUAAGUUCAAGAUCAUAGUUUAAACAAAAGAUCCAAGAAAAAAGAUAAAGUACAAUUUUGUUUACUCUGAAAUUGCAAAAAACUUACAUAUACAACUGAGAAAAAAAUAAUGAAAGAAAGAAAAAAACUUUUCAACCAUUGGUCUUUCAGUCUGGUAAGGCUAGUCAUUUGGCUGAGUUUUAUAGGGAUUUUGGGCACUUUUCAGCUGGCCUCUUAACUAAAUUUCAGUUUGGCCAGGCUGGAAGACCAUCUUACGAAACUGACAAGUUUUAAAAAGUGUUAUUCCAGCAGGGUUAAGACAGCUUCCUUUUCAUUUCAAUCAUAUACAUAUCCAUAGACAUAUUAAACCUGUAUUAAAUACUUGUUCCUUUUGAAAAAAAUAUGGCAUACAAAGACAGGGAAGUUGUAAACAUUCUGUUUUUAAUAGAAAUGUCUUAUUUCUUAAAAGGUCAGACAUUUUUGGAUAUAUUUUGUAAAAAUAAAAUGAAACAGAAAAAGAAUAAAAUGAAAAUGGAAAACAACAUGGAAUUGUAUGAUUUAGACGAUGUAGAUUUAGUGGUCUCAUAUACAAUACAAAUUCUUUUCAUCGCCAAAAGUGCAAAUUCUCCCAAAUUCUCCUGUACAUCUCAAUAGCUUCAACACACACUGACAGACAAUGGAAAGGAACUACAGAAUUAACGAAAAAAAGGGGGUUCUGCUGUCCAAGCCUGAGACAUUGGAAAUUUUCUGCCGCCCCAAAGUCAACAUGCCUUAUUUAAAUGAGAGUCCUGACUUAACCAAAGCACCCACUCUGCUGGAUUUUGGGGAGAGCCUGUCUCAACGUGCCCACAAAGUGCCUGCUGAUGCUCCAGGCCCCUCUCAGUGAGUCAUCCUGCUCUGAUGUAGCCAUAGGAUGUUGCUGCACCCUUUUUCACCAGCACAAGGAAGCAUAUAUUACUUUAAAAUAAAGGUCGCCGUUUUCAGGACACUUUUUUUUUCCCAAAACUUCAGCCAGUCAUUUGCAUUGUGAGAAAAGCGAUAGUUUUUAUAACUGAUCCCAUUUUGUAUCUAUAUACAUUGCAUUCAUUAAUGAUGCUCACAUUUCACACACUAAAAACUCCCUCCUUCUUACUCUACUACAGCUGAGUGCUUAUUUGGAAUUGGACACUAAUUUAUUGCUCAUCUUAUCACUCAGGUUGUUUCAGAUUUCUUUUUCUGUGGUCCCUUGGUAAAAGAAAUUAAAUAAGCUCUUUGUGUCUCCCCAACCUAAACUGCCUUUUUAAAUAGAUAUUUCUUUAUCCAUGUUGGAUAUCUUUAGUAAAGCUGUGCAAAUGCAUAAAAAAAGGUUUUCACUCUUAAUCUCUCCUUCUGUCGCUAAAACAAACAAACAAAUAAAAAAUUCCCUGCUUAAGUUGUUCACCAGCCGUUUGUAUAACAGUGCCCUCACUCAUCUGUUGCACACAGUUUCACUCUCCAACAGAAAGUCUCGAAAUGAAGCACAUUUAUCACAAUUCAUACUUUGGACUGAAACUUCUGGGUUCCAUCAAAUGCACAUUAGGAAAAAAUGGGUUUCUCAAUUAUAAUGCUCUUAAACAUCAAACAGCAUAUUUCCCCCUGCAAACUUAAUGCAGUGAGAAACCUGGAGUGAAGCUGAAGGAAGAUGUUACCCUAUCUAUCCACAAUAUAUGUCUAAUAAAGGGUCUCAUAAGAUUACAACCUAAUAUACACACACGCAUACAAAUAUAAAGUGUCAAGUACCCAAAAUAGUCAACUCAAAGGACAAGAAAAAAAUCAAAUGACAAAAUAUUAAGACAAUCCCCAAAAUCAGAGAGAAUAUAACGAAAGACUGGUAAUAAGGAAAAGCAGGCCUGGUUAGAUUUAACAUGUUUGUGCCCAAUGGCGAUCAGAUGAAGGUAGUGCUUUAGAAACACAGGAC